GCCGAAAUCGCCUAUAAAACGCGGCCUUUGAAAUCCAUUUUGUCAUUGCCUCUUCAGACAUUGAUCUUUCGCUUAGGAAAACGUGCAGGGGUUUAAGUUUGAGUUUGAUCGCCAUGAGGACCUUACUUGUACUAUGUGUUGCCUUUUCCUUGAUCUUGGCUUUUUUGCAAGCUGAUGCUAAAAGGUACAAUUUGCAUCAACGUCACCUGGCUCAGCAGAAAAAUGAUUCAAAUCUGCAUGCUAGUGACACAAAGGAUCAAUCUCAGCCUGCAACCACAAACAACAACGAGGCCAAGCAUGAUGACGACGAUGAUGCCAACGAGAGUUAUGGUAAAUUCGGACAUGAUUCUUCUGAAAGUGAUUCUCACCGUUAUUUUGUCGAUGAUCAAUUUCACCCCCAUUAAUUAGAACUGAUCCAAGCCUUGAGCUUGUAAAAGAAAGCUUCAAGCCUUCAGCAAUCAAGGUUGUGUAAUAGGUAAAGUAUAUGUUCGCCUUGUAAUUUAAUAAUAAAAUGGAACUCAUUAACAUGUCGCCAUAUUAUAUCCAAAAGAUAUCUAAGGCACAUGUGUUUGAUUUCACCAUAUAGUAUUCUUAGACAGACGACAAUCAGUUUGCUUAUAUAUAUAUAUAUGUGUGUGUAUGUGUGUGUGUUUGCAAUUGAUUGUACUGUCUAGGAUUAAUCAUGUCGUGUAUUGUAAUUUUAACCUCAUCUAAUAAAAUUCCAUAUAUGAAGGUAUAAA